rnacentral:rRNA from 1 species
AUUGAACGCUGGCGGCAGGCCUAACACAUGCAAGUCGAACGAGUGGCGGACGGGUGAGUAAUGUCUGGGAAACUGCCUGAUGGAGGGGGAUAAAUACUGGAACCGGUAGCUAAUACCGCAUACCAUCAGAUGUGCCCAGAUGGGAGUAGCUUGUUGGGGGGGUAACGGCUCACCAAGGCGCCGAUCCCCAGCUGGUCUGAGAGGAUGACCAGCCACACUGGAACUGAGACAAGGUCCAGACUCCUACGGGAGGCAGUAGUGGGGAAUAUUGCACAAUGGGCGCAAGCCUGAUUCAGCCAUGCCGCGUGUAUGAAGAAGGCCUGCGGGUUGUAAAGUACUUUCAGCUGGUAGGCGUUACCCGCAGAAGAAGCACUGGCUAACUCCGUGCCAGCAGCCGCGGUAAUUC